rnacentral:lncRNA from 1 species
GGCGUGGCAAACGAAGCUCGACAGAAGCGCAGGUAAGAUCGCACUCUUGCUACAGUUUUUCUAGUUAGGAGCAUGUGAGAGUGAUGCUCUGCUUAAUUACAUUUUUCGCCUCGGCACAGUCUCGGGCUUGGUGUUGAGUAUCUUUUGAUUUUCUUUCACUACUAAGUUCUUCUCUUAAACGUGAGUUCUGUGCGCUGACAACUGAACAGUUCUAUUUUGGUUGUCAAAACUACUCAUCUUCAGGAUUAAUAUUACCAGUGACUUUUCUUCAUUCUGUGCCUGGAAAUGAACAUUUCGAGUCAAAGGAUUUGCUGAAGAUGGUGGUAAAAAAUGUUAGAAGAUGACAGCGAAUGUUUGCGAGCUAGUUCUACGCCAUCUCUGGCCUCCCUCCCUGUCCAUAAAAAUAGAAAAACGGGAGUACAUUUUGGAAUAUACAGGGAGAAAACUGUGCCAGAAUACUUGGUGCCGAAAAAGCCACGAGUGAAUCUUCACCAUUCCAGAAUCGUCAUACUCACCAUCAUGGCAUCCGGCAUCAUUCUUGUGAUAUGUUUGACACUACUUGAUUUUACGAUGACUCAAACGAGAAGUGUCCCAGUAAUCCACUAUGCUCGAUAUCGCCUCGAAAAAAACUCCAACCAAAAUUCUCAGGACUCCAAACCUAAAAGGCAUAAUUACACGCAAGCCGACCCUAAGUCUGACCUUCUCCUGUAUAGUUCUCCGUUGAGCAUAAGAAAAUCAAACUCCUCCGGUUGUUUCCACUGCGGCUCCGAAAAUGUAGAGAGUUUAGCAGAUGUGAAACAGAUUCCCUCUGUUAGCCGAAGCAAGAGAAUUCCUUUCCUUAGCAGCGAGAUCGAUAAUGUCAGUGAUGAAAUCCAUGCUGUCGAUUUUCAGAGUCAAAAACUAAAAAGCCAUGAAGAUAAAAGCAUCACAGAAGAUAAAGCUCACCAUUCAAACAGUAAUGUAGAAGGUAUUAUAAAGCGCAGAGAAAAAUCGUUAGUGCUCAAUGACACUAGUAUAACACUUCCGUCUUAUGGCAUCAAUUCAACGCAAAAAAAUCAGGAAGGAAAACAAGUUGUAGCCGAGACCGAGAUUCCUGAUAUUAACAAAACAAAUUUUUACACACACGAGAAUACGGAGGAGUUUUCGACAAGUUCAACAGAUUCUUGGACCGAACCUACAUCGGCACAAAGCGAGAAAGAGCUUUCUAAACCCUUUGAAGGUUCAACAGAGUCAUGGACCGAAAAAAUACCAUUUGAGGACGAAGAAUUCCGGAUGGGAUCUGAAGAGGGUGAUCCAAUUCAUAAUUUACAUUAUGUCUACGUCGAGCCAAAAAAACCGGCGUACGUUACCCCUAUUCCGGACAGCCAAAAUCCGGAACCGGAGAUUCGAACCACGACCGCUCCGGAAAACCACCGUCGAUUCCCAGCACGCCCACGCAGUCGACCCGCAAAGCUCUACUCGAAAAGAAGAAGCCCCAACUCACGGUCCAAUGGUGCUCGGGCCCUACCGCAAAUCCAAAUCCUCGAAAGUGAUUCAUCGCAACAGCCACAAAAGUUGGAAUUGAUCAGCCCUCAAGUCACACUCGAAAAAGGAGGCGUGUUCGCAGAUGAUUCUUUGCCGGACCCGAACCCUGCAUCAAAGUCGGAAUCGCGACCGAUGGAACGACGCAUAUCUUUUGCCGAUUUUGAAGAGUACCCGCAACUUUCCAACUAUAAGAACUUGGACCAUGUCAAAAGUGUUAUGGACAUUAUUCAAUAUUUAAACACGGAGAGCCCGUUCGAAGGAACGUCAAAAGACAAACUUGCAUCAAAUUCCGGUUCCAGACGAAAGGAACGCCACAGACAACGGACCAACGCCCGCGCUGAAACACAGAAUGAGCCGACUGACGACCCAUAUACCGCUGUUGAGACCGUGGGAAAAGAACUUACCUACCCUCCCGAUUUCGGUGACACACGCCCGGUAGAUAAUUUCGUUCCCUUGCGAAAACGCGUCGGCUCCAAGCGCUACGAUUUUGACGCAGCUAAAAAUCAAGAAGCAAAUGAUUAUUUGAACUCGGAUUUGAGUGACAUUCACAGUCCUGUCAUUCCUGACGAUCCUGAACCUUCGAAAAUUUUGGACAGUAGAGCUCAGACUUCGGUUCCCGAUUUCAUCGAGGUCGGUCACGCUGACCAUGCAAAUUCCACCCCUGAGGAUGUUAGGGGCGAUAAAAUUCAAUUGCCUGAUGGUUUUGAAAUGUCCAAAGACGGAUUGGAACAUAGGUCCAAUCCUUUUCCGAUCGACAAAAUUAACAGCGAAUUUGGUGGUAAUCGGUACCAAGAUGACGCUCAUGCGACCGCGGAGGGAAAGGACUCAUUGAAACAGAGAGGUCAAACCGUGAGGCAAACUAACCCAAAAAAAUGGAACCAAGAACUGAGGUUCGACACAUCAUCAAAAAACAGCGGAAGCACCGCUAAGUCCCCGGACCCGACUCUCUUCCUGCCCAACUUCUACGGGUCAGACACCGCGUCGUACUACGCGAUGAACCCGUCGAGCUUCCUCUACGACGCCGUAACCGAGGACCACUCGGAGCGUCGCGAGCAGCGGAACCCCGCCGCUGGAUUCGGCAACUACAACGAUCUCUACACAGCCUUCAAGCCUUCCGACGUAGCGGAAAUCAACAACCUCAUGCCGGCGGCCAUGUUGGACGAGGACUACCCUCCAGCCCCCGCACGUCCACUGCUCGCGGACUCCCCCGACCCCUAUCUCAAAGCACCUCCAAUGAUUUUGGAUUACAUCCCGCGAUUGACGCCAUCCUCUGUCCACACCUCGGAGAUCUCCAGGAAGUUCGGCUUCGUUGGGGUGCCGGGCGACAACUCGACGAGGGAGAGGGUGGAAAUCACGGGGCCUGAUUUGAGUGGUACCCAGGCGACGCAUGCCAAUGAUCAGAGCCUAAGGGUGGCUGAAGGGCCAACAGCCUCGGGUCAAGGAACUCAGACUGCGAUCAACAUUUUCCCCCAAUCAUCGAAUAACGUUCCUGACGACGAAAUGAAAGAUCAUUUAGUUCCACCUUUGCCGGAUGAGAAGUCUAUCUAUUACCAAAAGCAAAGUGCUUUACUGCCAUGGGAUUCGAAUUUCCAGACCAGUAGCAUUAGAAAACAUGAUUAUCGCGAGCAACAACAACCGCAUGACCUUUUGAUUUCAACAAAUCAAUCGGUCUAUAAUAAUAUUCAGGGCAGGGAGACGAGGCACCAGAUGGACAUCGGUGGGCGUCCACCUGCUCAGCAGCAAGUGCAAAAAGAAAAUCAGGAGCUUUCGACGUCUCCCGCUCACACUCACACUCGCACACACGUGCGUACGCGGGUGCGGAGUAAAAAGCGGAACCGAAUCAGAUACCAAAAUCCGAGUCCUCCGCCGGCGCAACCGUUGCCACCGUACCAUCAGCAUCAGCCACCCACCGCCCUCGCCAUGACCAACGCCACGCAAGAUACCCAGGAUGCUGAAAGUGCGGUAGUCUGAUAUGGAACAACAAUUACACAGAGACAGAUCAAUUUUCUGGUUACUGGAACUGCUUUAUUUGUUAUAAGUGCGUUAUAAGUGGGAUUCACGGCGAUUCGCCUAAUUACAAGGGUGCUUCAGAUAACCUCGCUUUUUAGAUAUAAACUCUCUGAACGACCCUCGUAAUCACGACUAACUUUACUGCAGAGCAAAUCCUCUGAUUAGCCAGCUUAAUUUUCGCAUUCCUAAGCAUCUAAUUUUCAGAAAAGAGCUCGAAUUAUAUGGAUGUCACUGCUUUGGUCAUAUUCAUCAUGCAUUCCUUGUAGUUUAAGUGUUCGAUUAAAGACGGCGCUUUUGCCAGUUUCUGUACUAGAUGAAAUAAUUGUAUGAUUAUGAAAAAUAGUAAUUAUCCAAUUUUCUUUGAUAUUCCUGUUCUUUAUGGUGUAAGGUAUGACCAUAAACCUUUCACCGUCAAUUUGACCAAUUCUUCUUUUUUUUUUCAUACGAUGUGAAGGUAAAUUGAGAUUGAACCGCGCAAAAUACUAAAAUUAAGACUAAUGAAAAUAAAAGUUACUGCUUAAAAAAGGCUGUCUACAAUAGAAGAACCGAUGGAAUCCGAUAAAAUCUGAGUGUGCAUGUGAAGGAAAGACUAUGAUUCAGUGUGUGUUUGCGAUACUUACGUGAAGAACGCGAUCACUCAAUUUCGUGCUAUUGUGUUCAGUCCUGAUUUUUAAUUCCUUUUUAUUUUUUUUAAAAUUAAGUAUCAAUUGUUAAUGAUAAACUCGUAACAUUUUGAACAUUAUUUGCCAUGAGUCACUGACUAGAGAAAGUAAAGCUUAGAACGCUGGUAUUAUUCUCCUUCAAUACCGAUUGACGCAACAUUCAAUACUUCAAGCUGACUCUAUGAUGAAUGACAAGUUGCAGGGCCGACAUUCUGAAGGAGCUAGGCGAAGAGUCCGUGUUGCAUUGGAAUUCUGUAAAUGAUUUGAACUGGCCUCUUCAGACCUGGCAUCAUUAAGUACAGCCAUUUAUCGAUUUACACGGAUCGAUUUAUUUCCAUUGACAGCAUUGGAAGAGUUUUUAAUUCAAAUUGAUAUAAUUCGUACUGAAAUAAUUCAUUACAUCAAAUUAGAUCCAAAUGAUGACAUAUUUCAGUGCUCGUAAAACAAGGAAAAUCAUAUUGCCAGAAUAUUUGAUACCUGCUAAACCUGCUGGUCCUUGUGACUGGAUUACAAAGCAGCAUUUGUUAUUUGCAAGGUUUUGAUAACCGUUAUUUCAUUAGGUUGUCAGCCCUGCAAAAAGUUGAUUUGAAUUGUUCUGAUUGGAAUUUUCAGCUCAAUGAUUAUGCUUUGACUCAUCAAAAAUGUUGAUCAUUGUCUCUACAAUGAAAUAUUACACAGCUGCGUCCCUGAAUGGCAAGAAACCAGUUACUAAAUUUUCUUGUGGACUAAGAGAGAUUCUGAGUGAAGGAAUAAAUUGCAUUUUUUUCUCAGAUAUAAAAUAUUUUAGCAGACAUAUAUUAUGAAAUGAUCACGCGUUUACUAUGUGAUUACUGGACCAGGGACCUAUAAGUUUUGUGUUUUCAAUCCUCGCCGCAACGUAUUUAAUGUAAUUGUAAUGUGCGCUUUGCGCCUCCUUUUGAAUGUUUUUUUUGCCUAUCCUUUGUAGCUAAUUUAUUACUUACAAAUUAAAAUUUUGUUGAUUUUUUGUAGUAAU